AUCUGUUUUCUCUGCCCUUGCAGUACCUUUGUCUGGCUCUAUGGAGGAUCCUGGGUGACUGGUCAUUUUAUUAUGGCCUGGCACAUCUGAGAUCAAGUCACUCAGCUUGUCAACAUGCUCCCAGCAGAAAAACUUCAGUUGAAACCCUUCCUCUGGGCUUUGAAAUCUGAACGGUGUCCAACUCUGACAGAAGAGUGUGAUGAGAACCUCUCUCUGUGAUGUUGCCGUCUGAACAAUGCCCAAGAAACAGAAGGUGGGACCCACUAGACUGACACCUUUCAAUACUGCUUUCCAGUGAAGAACCCUGAAAGCCAGGGACUGAGAUGGGCAGAAUGUGAGGGAACCCACCUCUUUGGCCUAGGCUACUCCACACAGUCUUGGAACAAGGAACUGCUGUCCAUGGUCCUGUGUAAAUGUGAAGAAGCAAUCAGUGCACUGGACCAUCACUAUUGGGAUGUGGAUUAAAUUCCUCCCUGGAAGACAUACUUGAAAUGCAUUCUUCGGGGUGUCAGCCUUUUCUUGGUGCAUUAGAUCCCUGCUUGGAGCCCUAGUGUGAAAUAUGUGUGGAUGUAGGAAUAUGAGUCAUGGAGAGGGGAAAUGGUUUGACCCAGGUCUCCCAGCAAGGCCCAAGCAGAGAGGAAACAAGAAAUCUGACUCUCAGGAUCCCUGCUUUAACCACUAUCCACUGCAC
rnacentral:lncRNA from 1 species